AAGGUUUUAAGUUAAUAAAACUAUUAUCCUUCAAAGUUAAAAAUAUAAUAUUUAUAAGCCUUA
rnacentral:tRNA from 1 species